rnacentral:rRNA from 1 species
UACAGAGGGUGCGAGCGUUGUUCGGAAUUAUUGGGCGUAAAGGGCGCGUAGGCGGUGCGGUAAGUCACCUGUGAAAUCUCCUGGCUCAACUGGGAGCUUGCAGGCGAAACUGCCGUGCUGGAGUGUGGGAGAGGUGCGUGGAAUUCCUGGUGUAGCGGUGAAAUGCGUAGAUAUCAGGAGGAACACCUGUGGCGAAAGCGGCGCACUGGACCACACUGACGCUGAGGCGCGAAAGCUAGGGGAGCAAACAGG